rnacentral:rRNA from 1 species
AGCGAACGCUGGCGGCAGGCCUAACACAUGCAAGUCGAGCGCCGUAGCAAUACGGAGCGGCAGACGGGAGAGUAACACGUGGGAACGUACCCUUCAGUACGGAACAACCAAGGGAAACUUUGGCUAAUACCGUAUACGUCCGUAAGGAGAAAGAUUUAUCGCUGAAGGAUCGGCCCGCGUCUGAUUAGCUAGUUGGUGAGGUAACGGCUCACCAAGGCGACGAUCAGUAGCUGGUCUGAGAGGAUGAUCAGCCUCACUGGGACUGAGACACGGCCCAGACUCCUACGGGAGGCAGCAGUGGGGAAUAUUGGACAAUGGGCGCAAGCCUGAUCCAGCCAUGCCGCGUGGGUGAUGAGGGCCCUAGGGUUGUAAAGCCCUUUCGGCGGGGAAGAUAAUGACGGUACCCGCAGAAGAAGCCCCGGCUAACUUCGUGCCAGCCGCCGCGGUAAAAC